GAACAGAUGGAUCAAAAAGACAGUGUGAUAUUUCUAAUGGAGGAAAUUAGUCGGAAGAGGAGGGUUAGUGAUGAGGAACUCACGUUGUCAGUAGCAGAUGGGUCACCGGAAGUUGCAAAAUUCGAUCACCCCUUUUUAUUGAACAGAGUGUUCAGCAAAAUGUC